CCCGUCCCUCGGCCUCCGGAGCCCAAGCAGCGGCCAGCAAACCGCCGCCGCCUCUUGACAGCUUUCUGCCUCUUGUCCCCACGGCCCUCCAACCCGGGGAUCCAGAGGAGUGGAGGCGGGGUGGAGCUGGCAGAAGGAAGCUGGCUGGAUCCGCGCCAGGCAGCCUCUCCUCGCACCCCUGAGGUGGGGAGGCGUCCACGCGAUGGGAAGCACGGCCAUGGACGCCAAGAAGAAAGAUGCCUCGUCCGGGAGGAAGAAGAACGGUGGCCAGAAGAGACGCGUGCUGCGAGUUCACAUCCCCGAUCUCAGCUCUUUUGCCAUGCCAUUCCUGGAUGGGGAUAUGGACAGCACUGAGAAACAUGCUUCACGAAAGACAGAAGACAGCUACAACUCAGGGAGCCCCUCCAAAGGAAUCUUCUCAAAGGGGUUCCAGAACCGGCCUUCCAGCCCAGCCUCUGCUCCCAUCAAGUCGAAACACAGUCCGGGCUCACCCAAAACGGUGUUCCCUUUCCCGUACCAGGAAUCCCCACCUCGCUCUCCUCGUCGCAUGAGCUUCAGUGGGAUUUUCCGGUCGUCCUCGAAAGAUUCUUCCUCCUCGGGCUCGAAUGCUUCCACCUCCCCUGGAGGGAUCAAGUUCUUCUCCAGAUCAAGAAAAACUUCUGGCCUUUCUUCUUCACCAUCAACUCCCACCCAGGGAACAAAGCAGCCAGCAUUUCCGCUUGAAUGCUACAGACAUGAACCGGAGAGGCUAGAAACACGGAUUCACACCUCCUCUCCUCCUCCAGAUACUGGUGAAAGGUUCAGCCUGCCUCCAGGGCAGAGUGCCACCAAGCCACCCUCUCCAGCACCUGUCUGUUGUGCUACCUCAAAAGUGGCAGCGCCGCCGCCGCCGCCGUCCCCGGCCGCCUCCGAAGGGAUGCUGGAGAAACUGGAGCUCGAGGAUGAAGCUGUUGGUGAAUCGGAAAGUGAUAUCUACAUGCGAUUCAUGAGAUCACAUAAGUGUUACGAUAUUGUUCCAACAAGCUCAAAGCUUGUGGUUUUUGACACUACACUACAGGUAAAGAAAGCUUUCUUUGCUUUAGUGGCAAAUGGUGUUCGAGCAGCUCCACUGUGGGAGAGUAAAAAACAAAGCUUUGUAGGAAUGUUAACUAUUACAGAUUUCAUUAAUAUACUGCAUAGAUACUACAAAUCUCCAAUGGUACAAAUCUAUGAAUUGGAGGAGCACAAAAUUGAAACAUGGAGGGAGCUUUAUUUGCAAGAAACCUUUAAACCCUUAGUGAACAUUUCACCAGAUGCAAGCCUUUUUGAUGCUGUAUAUUCACUGAUCAAAAACAAAAUCCACAGAUUACCAGUCAUUGACCCUGUGAGUGGAAAUGCACUUUAUAUACUUACCCAUAAAAGAAUACUCAAGUUUCUCCAGCUUUUUGUGUCAGAAAUGCCAAAGCCCGCCUUCAUGAAGAAAAAUCUGGAUGAACUUGGAAUAGGAACAUAUCAUAAUAUUGCCUUUAUACAUCCAGACACUCCUAUCAUUAAAGCCUUGAAUAUAUUUGUAGAUAGAAGGAUAUCAGCACUACCUGUUGUGGAUGAGUCAGGAAAAGUUGUAGAUAUUUAUUCCAAAUUUGAUGUUAUAAAUCUUGCUGCUGAAAAAACUUAUAAUAACUUAGAUAUCACAGUGACACAAGCUCUCCAACAUCGCUCUCAGUAUUUUGAAGGUGUUGUGAAAUGCAGUAAGCUGGAAACGCUGGAGACAAUUGUGGAUCGGAUAGUUAAAGCUGAGGUGGGUAUGACUGUUCAAAUACCAGAGAAGAGGAGCUCUAAUUUGCCUGGCCGGUUCAUCGGCUGGUGGUUGUGAAUGAAGCCGAUGCUAUUGUUGGUAUCAUCUCGCUCUCUGACAUCCUCCAAGCGUUGGUGCUUACGCCAGCAGGUGCCCGGCAAAAGGAGAGUGAAACUGAAUGAUUGCUUUGAACAGAAGCACCUUGGUAAGAAGAACUUGACUAAAGUGACUGGGUCAUCUUUGCCUCAAGAACAUUGAUGGCAGUAGAGAAGAGCCAAGUGGUGAUGAGAAUGUGUGUGUAUUAGGCUAAGCGAUGGAUAGUCUAUUAUUUCCCAGUGACUGUCGCAAAACAAGCAGCAUGACAAAAAGCUUCUGUAUUAAAUGCAGGCUUGCAUUUCAAAAUGUUUGCCAAAAGAUUUCACCUGAUGUCCAUCUCAAAUGCACUGGAAGGAUACCAUUUAAUGUUACGUUUUAAUCCGAUGCAAGUCACUGGCCAGCAACAGAUCUCCGACAUAAGGCAAGUGUAUGGCAUAUUCGUAUCAGAGUGCCUCAUGUCAAAAAGCCAACAGUGUGUCAUCACUGUUGCCCAUCACAGUAAAAAGACCUGCUCUGUGAAACAAGACGUUGUAUUUGAAAAUUCAAGUCGCUAAGCCUAAAACCAAAUCAGUUUCAGUUAUCGUUAGAUUUGUCCUAAAAGCUGUAAUUUGAAUAUCAGUAGAUUACUUUAAACUUUAGUUACAAUUUGUGUGUUUCUCAAUGUUACAUUCUGAACAGAGAUGGUAAGACUGAUUAAAAGCAGCUUUAUUUAUUUUUA